CAGGACGAACGCUGGCGGCGUGCUUAACACAUGCAAGUCGAACGAUGAAGCCUAGCUUGCUAGGUGGAUUAGUGGCGAACGGGUGAGUAAUACGUGAGUAACCUACCUUUAACUCUGGGAUAAGCCUGGGAAACUGGGUCUAAUACCGGAUACGACCAAUCUCCGCAUGGGGUGUUGGUGGAAAGCGUUAUGUAGUGGUUAUAGAUGGGCUCACGGCCUAUCAGCUUGUUGGUGAGGUAACGGCUCACCAAGGCGACGACGGGUAGCCGGCCUGAGAGGGUGACCGGCCACACUGGGACUGAGACACGGCCCAGACUCCUACGGGAGGCAGCAGUGGGGAAUAUUGCACAAUGGGCGCAAGCCUGAUGCAGCGACGCCGCGUGAGGGAUGACGGCCUUCGGGUUGUAAACCUCUGUUAGCAGGGAAGAAGAGAGAUUGACGGUACCUGCAGAGAAAGCGCCGGCUAACUACGUGCCAGCAGCCGCGGUAAUACGUAGGGCGCGAGCGUUGUCCGGAAUUAUUGGGCGUAAAGAGCUUGUAGGCGGUUUGUCGCGUCUGCUGUGAAAGGCCGGAGCUUAACUCCGUGUAUUGCAGUGGGUACGGGCAGACUAGAGUGCAGUAGGGGAGACUGGAAUUCCUGGUGUAGCGGUGGAAUGCGCAGAUAUCAGGAGGAACACCGAUGGCGAAGGCAGGUCUCUGGGCUGUAACUGACGCUGAGAAGCGAAAGCAUGGGGAGCGAACAGGAUUAGAUACCCUGGUAGUCCAUGCCGUAAACGUUGGGCACUAGGUGUGGGGAACAUUCCACGUUUUCCGCGCCGUAGCUAACGCAUUAAGUGCCCCGCCU
rnacentral:rRNA from 1 species